rnacentral:rRNA from 1 species
UACGUAGGGUGCGAGCGUUAAUCGGAAUUACUGGGCGUAAAGCGUGCGCAGGCGGUUUUGUAAGCCGGAUGUGAAAUCCCCGGGCUUAACCUGGGAAUGGCAUUCGGGACUGCAAGGCUGGAGUGCGGCAGAGGAGACUGGAAUUCCUGGUGUAGCAGUGAAAUGCGCAGAUAUCAGGAAGAACACCGGUGGCGAAGGCGGCAUCCUGGACCAAUAUUGACGCUGAGGAGCGAAAGCCAGGGGAGCAAACGGG